rnacentral:tRNA from 1 species
GCACUGGUGGUCCAAUGGUUAAGUGCUCAGCUGCUAACUGAAAGGUUGGUGGUUCAAACCCACUCAGUGUC